rnacentral:rRNA from 1 species
UACGUAGGGGGCGAGCGUUUGUCCGGAUUUAUUGGGCGUAAAGAGCUCGUAGGCGGCUGCUCAAGUCGAAUGUGAAACCUCGAGGCUUAACCUCGAGCCUGCAUUCGAUACUGGGCGGCUAGAGUCUGGUAGGGGGAUCUGGAAUUCCUGGUGUAGCGGUGGAAUGCGCAGAUAUCAGGAGGAACACCGGUGGCGAAGGCGGGAUCCUGGGCCAGUACUGACGCUGAGGAGCGAAAAGCGUGGGGAGCAAACAGG